UCCAAAAUCAAAAUCCAAAACUUAGGAUGAGAAAGAAGGAAAAGCCGAUCGGAUAUGUUAGGAAACAAUUGACCCAUCAUCUUUACCUCUCAGAGCUCACCUUACUCUCCAUCUGACAAACCAAGGAAAGGAAACUCGUACAAUGAUGAAGAAGCCAAAAUUCUUGACGGCUUGCAAGGCUGACCAGCGGUUGCACUUCAAAUCCAAGGAUUGUAUUAGUGGAAAUUCAAUUUCAUUCCAGCCAAGCUAAAUAAGGUUGCUGUAAUGUUAGCUAAUUGUGCAAGUGACUCCUUCCAUUGGAUUUCCAUAACAUCCACACAAAGGUUCUGUCCUCAUUGUUGUUUUUGA